rnacentral:rRNA from 1 species
UGUUUAAAUGUAGGGGAAGAGAAAUGUUUAUAUAACAGGAUUUAUUGUUUGGUAAGAAUUGGGGAUAAUUUAAUAAAAAUAUUUUGAAUAAGUGAGAUUGAAGUUUAAGUAGAGAAGAGGGAAAAAAUAAUUAUAGUUAUAGUUUUAUAGUACUGAGAAGGAAGUUUUAGAAAUAAAUAAUUUAAGAUUUAAGUUUGUUAAAAGAAAGUUUUGUUUGCUGUACCUUGUGUAUCAGGGUUGAUUAAUAAAAUUGAAUGGAUAUUUAAGUUCCCGAUUUGAAGAGAGCUACUUUGGUUUGUUCGUUUAAUGUGGAAAAAUUAUUUUGAAGGCUAAAGUAGAAAUUAGAUGUUAAUCGUUCUUCAAGGUAUCUGGUUUCCUAGGAAAUAAAUUUAAUUUAGUUAUUGAAUUUCAUUAGUUUUAAUUGGUGUUAAGAUAUUGAUGGUUUAGUAAUAAUAGACUGGGGGAUGAGCUCUGGUUUAUUGCUUAAAAUUUUUUUUUGAAGUUAAGCGAUCUAUGCUUAGAAGUAGCAAUGGUUUGAAAAGUGUUAUAACUUAAUUAAAAUGUUUAAUAAAAUUUAUGGAAAAUUUAAGUAAUUUAUUAGGAUGGGAUUUGGAAUGAAAAGGAAUUUGCAAUAAUGAUUAAAUUAGUAUAAUAAAGUUGUUGAUUAUAGAUUAUUUGGAGAAGUCAGGGUAAGGAACUAGGCAAAGAUUUUACUCGCCUGUUUAUCAAAAACAUGUCUUCUUGUGAAAGUUGAAUUUGAAGUUUGGCCUGCCCACUGAGAAUUAUUGAAGGGCCGCGGUAUAUUGACCGUGCAAAGGUAGCAUAAUCAUUAGUCUUUUAAUUGAAGGCUGGAAUGAAUGGUUGAACGAGGUAUAAGCUGUCUCAUCUUGAGUGAUAUAUUAGAAAUUAACUUUUGAGUGAAAAGGCUCAAAUGAUUUUAAGGGACGAGAAGACCCUAUAGAGCUUUACUCUCAUCUUAAGCUUUAGAUUAUUUAGAAGUUGAUUGAUUUGGAGUUAUUAGGAGAGUUUUAUUGGGGUGAUGGGAAGAUAAGAAAAACUCUUUUUGAAUUUUUUACUAGGAUGGUAGAUAAUAAUUGAUCCUUUAUUAAGAUUGUAAGACUAAGUUACCUUAGGGAUAACAGCGUAAUCUUUUUUGAGAGUUCUUAUCGACAAAAAGGGUUGCGACCUCGAUGUUGGAUUAAGGUGAAUUUUGGGUGUAGCAGUUCAAAUUUUUAGGUCUGUUCGACCUUUAAAUCCUUACAUGAUCUGAGUUCAGACCGGCGUGAGCCAGGUCGGUUUCUAUCUUUAUAGAGUUAAGGAUGUUUUAGUACGAAAGGACCAAAUAUCCGGAAUAUUUCUUUGAUUAAGAUUAAUUUUAAAUUUUU